rnacentral:rRNA from 1 species
GACAAGCUGUGAUGGGGAGCGAAAUUUAGUAGCGAAGCGUCUGAUGUCACACUGCCGAGAAAAGCUUCUAGUGAGUACUUAACUACCCGUACCGCAAACCGACACAGGUAGUCGAGGAGAGAAUCCUAAGGUGAGCGAGUGAACUCUCGUUAAGGAACUCGGCAAAAUGACCCCGUAACUUCGGGAGAAGGGGUGCUGAUCGCAAGAUCAGCCGCAGUGAAUAGGCCCAGGCGACUGUUUAUCAAAAACACAGGUCUCUGCAAAAUCGUAAGAUGACGUAUAGGGGCUGACGCCUGCCCGGUGCUGGAAGGUUAAAAGGAUGGGUUAGCUUCGGCGAAGCUCAGAAUUGAAGCCCCAGUAAACGGCGGCCGUAACUAUAACGGUCCUAAGGUAGCGAAAUUCCUUGUCGGGUAAGUUCCGACCCGCACGAAAGGCGUAACGAUCUGGGCACUGUCUCAACGAGAGACUCGGUGAAAUUAUAUUGUCCGUGAAGAUGCGGACUACCCGCGACAGGACGGAAAGACCCCAUGGAGCUUUACUGUAGCUUGAUAUUGAGUGUUUGUACAGCUUGUACAGGAUAGGUAGGAGCCAUAGAAACCGGAACGCUAGUUUCGGUGGAGGCGUUGGUGGGAUACUACCCUCGCUGUAUGACCACUCUAACCCGCACCACUAAUCGUGGUGGGAGACAGUGUCAGGUGGGCAGUUUGACUGGGGCGGUCGCCUCCUAAAAAGUAACGGAGGCGCCCAAAGGUUCCCUCAGAAUGGUUGGAAAUCAUUCGCAGAGUGUAAAGGCACAAGGGAGCUUGACUGCGAGACAGACAGGUCGAGCAGGGACGAAAGUCGGGCUUAGUGAUCCGGUGGUACCGUAUGGAAGGGCCAUCGCUCAACGGAUAAAAGCUACCCUGGGGAUAACAGGCUUAUCUCCCCCAAGAGUCCACAUCGACGGGGAGGUUUGGCACCUCGAUGUCGGCUCAUCGCAUCCUGGGGCUGUAGUCGGUCCCAAGGGUUGGGCUGUUCGCCCAUUAAAGCGGUACGCGAGCUGGGUUCAGAACGUCGUGAGACAGUUCGGUCCCUAUCCGUCGCGGGCGUAGGAAAUUUGAGAGGACCUGUCCUUAGUACGAGAGGACCGGGAUGGACAUACCUCUGGUGUACCAGUUGUGCCGCCAGGCGCAUCGCUGGGUAGCUACGUAUGGAUGUGAUAAACGCUGAAAGCAUCUAAGUGUGAAACACACCUCGAGAUGAGAUUUCCCAUUCCUUUAUGGAAGUAAGACCCCUGAAAGAUGAUCAGGUAGAUAGGUUAGAAGUGGCAGUGCGGUGACGCAUGAAGCGGACUAAUACUAAUCGGUCGAGGACUUAACC